rnacentral:rRNA from 1 species
AACCUCUUUCAGCGCCGAAGAAGCGAAAGUGACGGUAGGCGCAGAAGAAGCACCGGCUAACUACGUGCCAGCAGCCGCGGUAAUACGUAGGGUGCAAGCGUUGUCCGGAAUCAUUGGGCGUAAAGAGCUCGUAGGCGGUCUGUCGCGUCUGCCGUGAAAACCUGGGGCUUAACCCCGGGCCUGCAGUGGGUACGGGCAGACUAGAGUGCGGUAGGGGAGACUGGAAUUCCUGGUGUAGCGGUGAAAUGCGCAGAUAUCAGGAGGAACACCGGUGGCGAAGGCGGGUCUCUGGGCCGUAACUGACGCUGAGGAGCGAAAGCAUGGGUAGCGAACAGGAUUAGAUACCCUGGUAGUCCAUGCCGUAAACGUUGGGCGCUAGGUGUGGGGCUCAUUCCACGAGUUCCGUGCCGCAGCAAACGCAUUAAGCGCCCCGCCUGGGGAGUACGGCCGCAAGGCUAAAACUCAAAGGAAUUGACGGGGCCCCGCACAAGCGGCGGAGCAUGCGGAUUAAUUCGAUGCAACGCGAAGAACCUUACCAAGGCUUGACAUGCAGGGAAAUCUCCCAGAGAUGGGAGGUCCGCAAGGGUCCUGCACAGGUGGUGCAUGGUUGUCGUCAGCUC